rnacentral:rRNA from 1 species
GAUGAACGCUGGCGGCGUGCCUAAUACAUGCAAGUCGAGCGAACGGACGAGAAGCUUGCUCCUCUGAUGUUAGCGGCGGACGGGUGAGUAACACGUGGAUAACCUACCUAUAAGACUGGGAUAACUUCGGGAAACCGGAGCUAAUACCGGAUAAUAUUUUGAACCGCAUGGUUCAAAAGUGAAAGACGGUCUUGCUGCCACUUAUAGAUGGAUCCGCGCUGCAUUAGCUAGUUGGUAAGGUAACGGCUUACCAAGGCAACGAUGCAUAGCCGACCUGAGAGGGUGAUCGGCCACACUGGAACUGAGACACGGUCCAGACUCCUACGGGAGGCAGCAGUAGGGAAUCUUCCGCAAUGGGCGAAAGCCUGACGGAGCAACGCCGCGUGAGUGAUGAAGGUCUUCGGAUCGUAAAACUCUGUUAUUAGGGAAGAACAUAUGUGUAAGUAACUGUGCACAUCUUGACGGUACCUAAUCAGAAAGCCACGGCUAACUACGUG